CGGGGGAGCAAGCGUUGUUCGGAUUACUGGGCGUAAAGGGCGCGUAGGCGGUCAGCACAAGUCAGUUGUGAAAUCUCCGGGCUUAACUCGGAAAGGUCAACUGAUACUGUGCGACUAGAGUGCAGAAGGGGCAACUGGAAUUCUCGGUGUAGCGGUGAAAUGCGUAGAUAUCGAGAGGAACGCCUGCGGCGAAGGCGGGUUGCUGGGCUGACACUGACGCUGAUGCGCGAAAGCCAGGGGAGCGAACGGGAUUAGAUACCCCGGUAGUCCUGGCCUUAAACGAUGGAUGCUUGGUGUCUGGAGUUUUAUAGUCUCCGGGUGCCGCAGCUAACGCGUUAAGCAUCCCGCCUGGGGAGUACGGUCGCAAGACUG
rnacentral:rRNA from 1 species